AGAUGAAGAACGUAGCGAAAUGCGAUAAUUAAUGUGAAUUGCAGAAUUCAGUGAAUCAUCGAGUCUUUGAACGCACAUUGCGCCCGCUGGCAUUCCGGCGGGCACGCCUGUUCGAGCGUCAUUCCAACCCCUCAAGCCUCGGCUUGGUCUUGGGCGCUGCCGCCUGGCACGCCCCAAAAUCGUCGGCGGAACGGGGCACCCCCCCAGCGUGACGCACUCGCGCAACCGGGGGUACCGCCCGCCUUACCAAGCCUACAAGUUGACCUCGGAUCAGGCGGGGAUACCCGCUGAACUUAAGCAUAUCAAUAAGCGGAGGA
rnacentral:misc_RNA from 1 species